UUGGCUGUGAGUUCGUCUCGAGCCUGAACCAGAGGUCAGCUGAGGGCCUCUCCGCACCCCACCCCUCCAACUCACCAGCUCCUAGGCUUUACGUGCCCAACUGCCCUGUCUGCUGUCUCCUGAGCCUCCCCACAACACUGGGCCUCUGCAACCUUCGUGCCUUGGGAGGUGCUAUUCCCUUCAUCCAAAAUGCCUCCUUGCUAAGGCCCAUCUUGAAUCUGACCUCCUUCCUACGAGCCGCUAUUUACUCACUCUCAACAUACACCACGCACCGUGCUCCUGAGGACUGACCUGCUCACCUGCUCACCCGGUGCCUGUGGGUGUUCUUGCCAAUGUGAGAUACGCGAUUCCCGGAUCUGCUGCUCCAUCUCGCUCAGCCCAGCACCCACCUUUCAGGGGGAGGAGGAAGAAACAGCUUGAAUGGCGUCCCCACCCGGGCUGCCAGGGGCAGGAGGCGAUAGGGUAGGGGCCCUGGCAAACGUACCCGCUCAGCUUCCUCCAGCUCCUGUCUGCGUGCUUCAGACGCCAGCACCUGCUGGGACGCCUGUUGGAGCGUGGCUUGCGUCUGGCUGGUGAGCCUGCUGGCACGGCGGUGCGCCUGUUUCCGCUCCCUCAGCAAGGCCUUGGCAAGCUAUGGGAUGGGUGGCAGUGGCAGGGAGAAGAAGUGAGUGCAGCAAGUCCUUUUGGAGGUAAAUAGCUCUUAUGGCAAUGAUGCCAAGCAGUUGUCUGUACCAGGCAGAUCAUUCAUUCAUUCAUGCACGCAACAAAUAUGUACUGAAUGCAGGCUAAGUGCUGGGCACAGUGUAGACUGCUGGAUACCACCCGUUUCAGGAGGAGCAAUUCUAACUAUUUUACAGAGCGUAUCAAUAGGCUAGGAGACCCCCGGCCACACCCUGGGGAAGACUGCUCCACAGUUCACCUUGUGAAUUUUCCUUUUAUCCUGAACACCAACUGAGCACAGCCAAGCUGGUGAUACUUAAGCACACACGGCCACGCCUUUCCGACAGGAAGUCCCCAAACGAUGGGUGACUAGGACUUCAAGCCGCCAGGAAGCUGGGGAACAGGAGCACUGACCAGCCCAUCCUCUGCCCCAGAGGGGCUGGGUCCACAGCUAGCGCUCCAUCUCUUCCGGGCAGUGGGCAGGGCUGGGGAGGGAGGCCACAGAACAACAGCAGAAGCCUGACUUCUGGCCUCAGACCCCAAGAGACAUCUGGGGUUCAGAGUGUGUUCCUGCCUUAUCCAGCCCGUUGGAUAAGGAGCCACAAACAAAGGGUGAGGGGGCUUCUCUCUGGAGCAAAUUGGGUAUCACAGAAGCCCAUCACACAGGUGGAUACUUGCAGAAUCGUAAUACUUGCUGGCUUCUAUUCCCAGCUUAGCUCUGACCCAGGGAUGAAUAGCAAUUCCUUUCCUCAGCCUACCCAUCUGCAAAAUGGGGGCACUAGACUGGCAUCAACCCAUAGCCCCUUCUAAAGAGAAACUCCAUCUGCUUCCCAUAGCCCCAACUCAACAUUGGACCCGGACAGCCAUAUUUGUAUCAGAUAACUAACUGGAGCCCAGGCCAGAGUGGACUUGACCUGGUUGAACAGCCAAUGAUGUUAGAGUCUCCUCUCACUUGGUCUGGAGGGGCUCUGCAUGUGGUCUGAUGACCUGGGGUGUAUGGGAUAGCCACAUGGGCAAGUCCGAGGUGAGUGAUGUAUGAGAUGGGGCAGGAUCCUGAGAGGUGGAGGGAAAGUCUGUUUGGCUUAAUUAAGCCCACAAGACCAGACUCCUGUCCUCUGCAAGCCUGCCCUGGCUGAGGCGAGAGGUGAGUGGCUGUCAGGGGCGUUCGUCAUUACACAGCCUAGUGGUCAGCUGGACUCACGUACCUUCCAGAUCAGCCAGCAGAGUCCUGGCUCCCAUGACAGUCACUGUCGCAGCCUGGACAGAUGAGGAAGCCUGGGUCAGGGCGGCUCUGGCCUCCUGGUGCAGCUGGAGAGAGAUGAGGAGAGGCUGGGCAGCUGGCUCCACAGGAGCAGGGCCCAGGGGCAGCUCAGUGGGCACCAAACCCACAUACAUGGGUGCCCAAAUCAUCACCAAAUCCCUGACGCUGGGUCACGCUGUCCACCAGGAGCACCUGAUCUGUGUUAUUAUACAAAAGUUGAACUCCGAAUGUCUCCCAAGAGAUACCUGUCCACAAAAGCCCGGAGGAAAACUAAAACACUAGAAUUAAAGGAACGAGAACACCUGAACAUCUCUUUAGAACAUGUUCUAUUGGCCAGGCACAGAGACUCACACCUGUAAUCCCAACACUUUGGAAGGCCGAGGUGGGCAGAUCACUUGAGGUCAGGAGUUCGAGACCAGCCUGGCCAACAUGGUGAAACCCUGUCUCUACUAAAAAUUUAUUUAAAAUUAGCUAGGUGUGGUGGUGCAUGCCUGCAAUCCCAGCUACUGGGGGAGGCUGAGGCGGGAGUAUGGCUUGAACCUAUGGGGCAGAGGUUAUAGUGAGCGGAGAUCAAGCCACUGCACUCCAGCCUGGGUGGCAUAAAGAUUCCAUCUAAAAAAGAGAGAGAAAGAAAGGAAGGAAGGGAGGGAGGGAGGGAGGGAGGGAGGGAACACUGCUCUAUCUCAGCAAGUGGAUGUGAAAAUCGCAAAUCUGUUUAUGACACCACCUUGACUUAUGGAAGAUCAGUUUCUUCCCCACUGCCACUCAACAGGACUAGAUACACUGAAAGAAUUUGGGUCUGAUAGAUGAGUGGGUAAACAAAAUGUGCUUCAUCCACACACUGGAAUAUGACCGAGCCUUUCAAAGGGAGGAAGUAUAGAUCCAGGCCGCAAGGCAGGUGAACCCUGAAAAGGUGAUGCCAUCAGGAGGAAGCCUGACACCAUCGGCACAUAUUACACGAUUCCAUUUCUGCAAAAGAGCUGGACUAAGGAAAUCUACAGAGACAGAGAACAGAGUGGAGGCUGCCCGGGCCUCGGAAGUGGAAAUGAGGAGGGACUGCUGAGUGGGCAUGGAGUUAGGGGUGGUGAGAAUGUUCUGAAACUAGACUGAGGUGGAGGUGGCAUAACAUCGUGAACGUGCUAAAGCCAUUGCAUCUAAAAUGGGUGUUUGUAUGCCACGUGAAUGUCACUGUAACAAGAAUAAAUAAAUAGUAGUUUGAGGAGCCA
rnacentral:lncRNA from 10 species